rnacentral:rRNA from 1 species
GUGCACCAGUCGAGAAUACUUUACAAUGUGCGAAAGCACGAUAAGGGAACUCUGAGUGCCUCCUAAGGAGGCUGUUCAGGUGUCUAAAAGCACCUGAAGGAAGGGCUGGGUAAGACCGGUGCCAGCCGCCGCGGUAACACCGGCAGCCCAAGUGGUAGCCACGUUUAUUGGGUCUAAAGCGUCCGUAGCCGGCUGGAUAAGUUCCUUGGGAAAUUUGGCUGCUUAACAGUCAAGCUUUCAGGGAAUACUGCCCGGCUUGGGACCGGGAGAGGUCAGAGGUACUCCAGGGGUAGGGGUGAAAUCCAUUAAUCCUUGGGGGACCACCGGUAGCGAAGGCGUCUGACCAGACCGGGUCCGACGGUGAGGGACGAAGGCUAGGGGCGCGAACCGGAUUAGAUACCCCUGUAGU